rnacentral:rRNA from 1 species
CCUACGGGUGGCAGCAGUGGAGAAUCUUGCACAAUGGGGGAAACCCUGAUGCAGCGACGCCGCGUGAGUGAAGAAGUAAUUCGUUAUGUAAAGCUCUAUCAACAGGGAAGAAAAUUACAGUACCUGCGUAAGACGCCCCGGCUAACUACGUGCCAGCCGCCGCGGUAAUACGUAGGGGGCAAGCGUUAUCCGGAUUUACUGGGUGGAAAGGGAGCGUAGACGGCAGUGCAAGUCUGGAGUGAAAGGCGGGGGCUCAACCCCCGGACUGCUCUGGAAACUGUAAGGCUGGAGUGCAGGAGAGGUAAGUGGAAUUCCUAGUGUAGCGGUGAAAUGCGUAGAUAUUAGGAGGAACACCAGUGGCGAAGGCGGGUUACUGGACUGUAACUGACGUUGAGGCUCGAAAGCGUGGGGAGCAAACAGGAUUAGAUACCCUAGUAGUC